rnacentral:tRNA from 2 species
CGCGGGAUAGAGCAGUUCGGUAGCUCGUCGGGCUCAUAACCCGAAGGUCGUCAGUUCAAAUCUGGCUCCCGCAACCA